UACGUAGGGUGCAAGCGUUAAUCGGAAUUACUGGGCGUAGAGCGUGCGCAGGCGGCUUUGCAAGACAGAUGUGAAAUCCCUGGGCUCAACCUGGGAACUGCAUUUGUGACUGCAUGGCUGGAGUGCGGCAGAGGGGGAUGGAAUUCCGCGUGUAGCAGUGAAGUGCGUAGAUAUGCGGAGGAACACCGAUGGCGAAGGCAAUCCCCUGGGCCUGCACUGACGCUCAUGCACGAAAGCGUGGGGAGCAAACAGG
rnacentral:rRNA from 1 species